GGCCGCCGCCAUUUUGUGCCGGGCGCCCGGAGGAAGAGGACGCUGUCUUGUCUCCGCGCCUGACGGGCCCUGGCGCUAAGCGAGCCGCUCUCGGCCCCGCGAACCAAUCCCGACCGGAUCUCUAGCCUCCCCGCUCCCUCCCCCGGGAAGUGAGGCGGCCAAGGGCGACUCCGCCGGGACACCAGUGCCGCCGCCGCCGCCGGCCGAGCCCCCCGCCCCGCGCUCCCCCCCCCCAGCUCGCGCCGCUCGGUGCCCCCCCUGCGGGACAAUGCGAGGCUUCGGAGACCGGGGCCGCGACCGUGACCGCGGCGGGUUUGGUAGUCCGCUGCCCCCAAAGAAAUUUGGUAAUCCAGGGGAGCGUCUACGCAAAAAGAAGUGGGACCUGAAUGAGCUGCCCAAAUUUGAGAAGAACUUUUAUGUGGAGCAUCCAGAAGUGGCCAGGCUAACCCCUUAUGAAGUUGAAGAACUGCGACGAAAGAAAGAGAUUACAGUUAGGGGGACAGAUGCCUGCCCCAAACCUGUGUUUGCCUUCCACCAUGCUAACUUCCCACAGUAUGUAAUGGAUGUCUUGAUCGAUCAGAAUUUCACAGAACCCACUCCAAUUCAGUGCCAGGGCUUCCCAUUGGCCCUCAGUGGCAGAGACAUGGUGGGCAUCGCUCAGACAGGCUCCGGGAAGACAUUGGCAUACUUGCUGCCUGCAAUUGUUCACAUUAACCACCAGCCAUAUUUGGAGAGGGGAGAUGGUCCAAUUUGUUUGGUUCUAGCUCCCACCCGAGAGCUGGCCCAGCAAGUCCAGCAGGUGGCUGAUGAUUAUGGCAAAUGCUCAAGACUUAAGAGUACCUGCAUAUAUGGAGGAGCACCCAAAGGUCCCCAAAUCCGAGACCUGGAGAGAGGCGUUGAGAUCUGCAUUGCCACACCUGGCCGCUUGAUUGACUUCCUGGAGGCAGGAAAGACCAACCUUCGCCGAUGUACGUACCUUGUGCUGGAUGAAGCGGAUAGGAUGUUGGAUAUGGGCUUUGAACCCCAAAUUCGUAAAAUUGUUGACCAGAUAAGGCCUGACCGGCAAACUCUGAUGUGGAGUGCCACUUGGCCAAAGGAAGUGCGCCAGCUUGCUGAGGAUUUUCUGCGUGACUAUGUUCAAAUCAAUGUGGGCAACCUGGAGCUGAGUGCUAACCACAACAUCCUGCAAAUAGUGGAUGUAUGCAUGGAGAGCGAGAAGGACCAUAAACUAAUUCAACUGAUGGAAGAAAUCAUGGCUGAGAAAGAGAACAAAACUAUCAUAUUUGUUGAGACGAAAAGACGAUGUGAUGACCUCACCCGAAGAAUGCGCAGGGAUGGCUGGCCAGCUAUGUGUAUCCAUGGAGACAAGAGUCAGCCAGAAAGAGACUGGGUACUUAAUGAAUUCCGUUCUGGAAAGGCUCCUAUCCUCAUCGCUACAGAUGUUGCAUCUCGUGGGCUAGAAGCUUUGAUAUCAGCUGCAGAUCAUUCUCAGUGCAGGGUCGGGGGCAUAUCUGCACUGGUGGUCGAAGCAGCUCUCUAGACAAGCAUGUCUGCUAAUUUAUAUCACUCCUGAUUAACAGUCAGAGACUCGAUCUGUGCCAUAGGGUAUUCCGGUUGUCUGACAAAGGGUGUGUGUCCCAGGCAGCUGGCCAGAUCACUUUUACAAUUUGUUCUUGAUCUUGCUACAGUAUCUUCUAAAAAUGCAGGAAGAUUGACUGUGCACAAAUACAUGGAGCAUGCUAGACUGGAGAAACCAAAUCUUGUACUUGCUCUGAUCUUUCUUCAGCCUGAUAUGUGCACAUACAGGACCACCUUAUUAAUCUGGAGAACAUCCCCUGCCUUUUCUGGCCUUCCCCUCAAAAAAAUCAAGUCAGCAGUGUCUGUGCUAUUAGCUACAAUUCCGGGCGCUUUCUGCCAGGAAAGCGCUUCCCUGUAUCCACUUGGUAAUUCAACUCGCUUUGCUGCUCAUGGAUGUGCGGAAUGGGAUUGGCUAAGGAUCACGUAGCCUGCUGCUUGUCAGACUCUAGUUAAACUCUGUCUGUGAAGAUGUGAUUGUGCCUAUCAUAUUUGCCCCUCCCUUACCUUAUACUUUUACCAUUAAAAUAUUCUUUGUUAUUGCACCAAGGACCCUAGUUGGAGACUCGCGCAGCCCCCUGUGAAAUCUGCCUUCUCACUCCCUUUUUGGUGUGAUUCAGGACUUUGGAGUCAGCAAAGACUAAGGAGACCCCUUUGCUGUAAUAAGAAACAGACAUAAAGUCCCCUCUUGCCACUACAAACCCAUAGUUUUUAUUUUCUCCCUGUCCCCUCUUUGAAAUUGAGAAGUCUGGGCAAUAGAUGCAGUCUGACCCUUUGGAUAUAUUUUUUCUAUCUUCAUUUUUUUGACAUUCGCCCCUAUUAACCCCGGGUGGGGCCAAAAAGCGUUGGAGGACCUGAAAUUUUUACCUGAACCCAGGUUCUCCGGCACUUCACAACCAAAUGGGGCUACAGAGAAGCAUCUAAGCCAGUUCACAGAGCGAGCGUGUGUGGGGACUUCUCGCUGCCAUGGACCCUUGAUGCAUGCUCCCCGCGCUCCAGUGGUCCCGUGUCAGAGGGCGGAGUUUUCGAAAGGAGGCCGCCAAAAAUAAAAGGCAAAGAGACGGGAUCGGCUGCAGCGGUUUCCCACAGGAGGAGGGAGUGUGCAUCGGUCUGAUGUGGAAGACGUUAAGUUUGUGAUAAACUACGACUAUCCAAACAGCUCUGAGGAUUACGUGCACCGAAUCGGCCGCACUGCCCGUAGCACCAACAAGGGCACUGCCUACACCUUCUUCACACCGGGGAACCUGAAAC